rnacentral:misc_RNA from 1 species
CGCACAUUGCGCCCGCUAGUACUCUAGCGGGCAUGCCUGUUCGAGCGUCAUUUCAACCCUCAAGCUCUGCUUGGUGUUGGGGCUCUACGUCUGACGUAGGCCCUGAAAGGAAGUGGCGGGCUCGCUACAACUCCGAGCGUAGUAAUUCAUUAUCUCGCUAGGGAAGUGUGGCGUUCUCCAGCCGUUAAAGACCCCAUCUUUAACCAAGGUUGACCUCGGAUCAGGUAGGAAUACCCGCUGAACUUAA